CACGUAGGGGACGAGCGUUGUCCGGAUUCAUUGGGCGUAAAGCGCGCGUAGGCGGCCCGGAGAGUCGGUCGUGAAACCCUGGGGCUCAACCCCAGGACUGCGUCCGAUACUUCCGGGCUGGAGGCAGGUAGGGGAGAUCGGAAUUCCUGGUGUAGCGGUGAAAUGCGCAGAUAUCAGGAGGAACACCGGUGGCGAAGGCGGAUCUCUGGGCCUUGCCUGACGCUGAGGCGCGAAAGCUAGGGGAGCGAACAGGAUUAGAAACCCCCGUAGUCC
rnacentral:rRNA from 1 species